rnacentral:tmRNA from 1 species
GGGGCUGAUUCUGGAUUCGACGGGAUUUGCGAAACCCAAGGUGCAUGCCGAGGGGCGGUUGGCCUCGUAAAAAGCCGCAAAAAAAUAGUCGCAAACGACGAAACCUACGCUUUAGCAGCUUAAUAACCUGCUUAGAGCCCUCUCUCCCUAGCCUCCGCUCUUAGGACGGGGAUCAAGAGAGGUCAAACCCAAAAGAGAUCGCGUGGAUGCCCUGCCUGGGGUUGAAGCGUUAAAACUAAUCAGGCUAGUCUGGUAGUGGCGUGUC